UCGGGUUCUUAGGGGUCGGGACCGGAACUGGAGGUUGAGCACUUAAGCUCGGGGGAGCUGAGAUAGGGGGAUCAGGGACUCGGAUUGAGAUUAACUCGGCGGAUUUGACCAGGGCCCUUACACUAUCCCCUCUAAGUCGAGGAUGAUGAGGUUUUCCUUAAAAAGGAUCUGGCCUAACUUGAUAGGUACAAGAUUAAUUAUCUUGUCUGAAGCUAUUUUCCUUCCCGGGGUCGAGAUCAUAUACGACCCUUUGGUGUGACCAACGCUCAACCC
rnacentral:lncRNA from 1 species